rnacentral:rRNA from 1 species
UACGUAGGGCGCAAGCGUUGUCCGGAAUUAUUGGGCGUAAAGAGCUCGUAGGCGGCUUGUCACGUCGGGUGUGAAAGCCCGGGGCUUAACCCCGGGUCUGCAUUCGAUACGGGCAGGCUAGAGUGUGGUAGGGGAGAUCGGAAUUCCUGGUGUAGCGGUGAAAUGCGCAGAUAUCAGGAGGAACACCGGUGGCGAAGGCGGAUCUCUGGGCCAUUACUGACGCUGAGACGCGAAAGCGUGGGGAGCGAACAGG